rnacentral:rRNA from 1 species
GAUGAACGCUGGCGGCGUGCCUAAUACAUGCAAGUCGAGCGAACGGACGAGAAGCUUGCUUCUCUGAUGUUAGCGGCGGACGGGUGAGUAGCACGUGGAUAACCUACCUAUAAGACUGGGAUAACUUCGGGAAACCGGAGCUAAUACCGGAUAAUAUUUUGAACCGCAUGGUUCAAAAGUGAAAGACGGUCUUGCUGUCACUUAUAGAUGGAUCCGCGCUGCAUUAGCUAGUUGGUAAGGUAACGGCUUACCAAGGCAACGAUGCAUAGCCGACCUGAGAGGGUGAUCGGCCACCCUGGAACUGAGACACGGUCCAGACUCCUACGGGAGGCAGCAGUAGGGAAUCUUCCGCAAUGGGCGAAAGCCUGACGGAGCAACGCCGCGUGAGUGAUGAAGGUCUUCGGAUCGUAAAACUCUGUUAUUAGGGAAGAACAUAUGUGUAAGUAACUGUGCACAUCUUGACGGUACCUAAUCAGAAAGCCACGGCUAACUACGUG